GGCGGCGUGCUUAACACAUGCAAGUCGAGCGGAAAGGCCUUCGGGGUACUCGAGCGGCGAACGGGUGAGUAACACGUGAGCAACCUGCCCUUGGCUCUGGGAUAGCCUCCGGAAACGGGGAUUAAUACCGGACAUGACCUCCUGCGGCAUCGCGGGGGGUGGAAAGUUUUUUCGGCCAGGGAGGGGCUCGCGGCCUAUCAGCUUGUUGGGGGGGUAACGGCCCACCAAGGCGACGACGGGUAGCCGGCCUGAGAGGGCGACCGGCCACACUGGGACUGAGACACGGCCCAGACUCCUACGGGAGGCAGCAGUGGGGAAUAUUGCACAAUGGGCGGAAGCCUGAUGCAGCGACGCCGCGUGGGGGAUGAAGGCCUUCGGGUUGUAAACCCCUUUCACCAGGAGCGAAUCAAGACGGUACCUGGGGAAGAAGCGCCGGCUAACUACGUGCCAGCAGCCGCGGUAAUACGUAGGGCGCAAGCGUUGUCCGGAAUUAUUGGGCGUAAA
rnacentral:rRNA from 1 species